rnacentral:lncRNA from 1 species
GCAGUAGAAGAGAAGCACCAGACUGGGUUACAGAUCUGCUUUGCAAGAGUUAUGAAGAACCUUGGUCACGUUAGAGAAGACUAUGGCAAUGCCGGAGACUAUGGUCGCUCGUCCCUGAAGAUGUGAAGGGAAAAUCAACAAAGGAAUAGCUUCCGUUGAUGGAGGUGACAUAGCACGGGUUCUGCAAGGCGUCAAAGGCUGAAGGUUUCAACUUCAAGAGAUCACGGUCUGAACCUCAAGCCUCUCCUCACGGUAAUUGCUUUCUCGUCUUACAAAAAAAAAGAGCUUGUCAAUUGAUAUAUCAAGAAGAACGGGUUUGUUGGUCAUUGUCUGAUUGGUGCUUUGUAGCUGGUUUUAUCUACGUGAUUGGGAUGGCGUUGCUUAGUCUUGGUUUCGGUCUGAACAGAAAUAAGUUAGUACAAGUCUCUGGUUUUACCGAGUGCACACAAGGUGCUCGCUGAAAUCUCAAAGAGAAAGUCUGAUUGUUUAGAAGCAGAGUUUUGAUGGUAUAUUGAUGGGAAUCAGAGAGUUAAUAGGAUGGUUUAGUAAGUGUGGAAAGAGAGUUUUGCUUCUUCAUGAGACAUAGUAAGGAAUAGGUUAAGUAAGCCUAGAGUCAUAGUGAGACAAAAAGGUCACAAUUAUACCUCUGAGUGAGAUCCACUAAGUUCUCCAAGUUCAAAAGAAACCUCUCAGUGAAGCCAUGUGAUACUCUCCAAGUAUAGGCCUGAAUAGAUCUCACACUUAGUUUGUUUUCCAUGAAGAAGAAGAG